GAGGAAUCAAGUGAGAGCUUGAGAAAUAUAGAAGAAAAAGUUAGGGAAAAAUUUUUAGUUGCAAGAAGAGUAGAGGUUCUGAAGAGUUUUCGGGGAAACAAAUUCGGAGCAAGAGAUUAAGUCUGGAAUAGAGAUGGCAAGGAGGAUACGUUGGAAACAGUACUUGAUGGGGAAGACAAUGCUGCAGCUUAGAUUCGCUAGCUUUUAUUAGUUAGCUUUGAUGAACUUUUGUACGUUUAAAGCUUUAAAUUCUAUGUAAUUUCUAGGGAGAAACCCUAAUACUCUAAGUUUUCAAUUCCAUGCUAUUCUAAGGAUGAUUGUAAUCCUUAAAUUACUCUUGACUGCUUUCCUAUAUUAAUAAAUGAUGACGUCUUUAUUAUA
rnacentral:sRNA from 1 species